AGCUUGAAGCUGUCUUCACCAUGGCUUGGUCUCCACUUUUCUUAAUCCUGCUUGUUCACUGCACAGGUUCUUUGGCUGAGGUUGUGUUCACUCAGCCCCAACAUGUGUCAGGGUCUCUAGGGCAGAAGGUCACCAUUUCCUGCACCCGUAGUAGUGGAGACAUUGGGAAUAACUAUGUGUACUGGUACCAGCAGCACCUGGGAAGUCCCCCCAGUCUCCUGAUUUAYAAGUAUGAUCAAAGACCCUCUGGGAUUCCAGACCGGUUUUCUGGCUCUAAAGACAGCUCCUCCAAUUCUGCCUCCCUGACCAUCACUGGACUGCAGCCUGAGGAUGAGGCUGACUACCACUGUCUGUCUGGUUAUGACAGCUAUUACUCACAGUGA